GCCAGUGGUUCAGUGGUUAGAACAUUGGCCUGCGAACCGAAGGGUUGUGGGUUCGACUCCCUGUCAAGGGCA
rfam:Myotis brandtii contig153715, whole genome shotgun sequence.